AUUGAACGCUGGCGGCAGGCCUAACACAUGCAAGUCGAACGGCAGCACAGAAGAGCUUGCUCUUUGGGUGGCGAGUGGCGGACGGGUGAGUAAUGUCUGGGAAACUGCCCGAUGGAGGGGGAUAACUACUGGAAACGGUAGCUAAUACCGCAUAACGUCGCAAGACCAACGUGGGGGACCUUCGGGCCUCACACCAUCGGAUGUGCCCAGACGGGAUUAGCUAGUAGGUGGGGUAAUGGCUCACCUAGGCGACGAUCGCUAGCUGGUCUGAGAGGAUGACCAGCCACACUGGAACUGAGACACGGUCCAGACUCCUACGGGAGGCAGCAGUGGGGAAUAUUGCACAAUGGGCGCAAGCCUGAUGCAGCCAUGCCGCGUGUAUGAAGAAGGCCUUCGGGUUGUAAAGUACUUUCAGCGGGGAGGAAGGCGGUGAGGUUAAUAACCUCGCCGAUUGACGUUACCCGCAGAAGAAGCACCGGCUAACUCCGUGCCAGCAGCCGCCGCCG
rnacentral:rRNA from 1 species